rnacentral:rRNA from 1 species
UGCAAGUCGAACGGGAUCCCGGGGGUUCGCUCCCGGGUGAGAGUGGCGAACGGGUGAGUAAUGCGUGACCGACCUGCCCCAUACACCGGAAUAGCUCCUGGAAACGGGUGGUAAUGCCGGAUGCUCCGGUUGGAUGCAUGUCCUUCCGGGAAAGAUUCCAUCGGUAUGGGAUGGGGUCGCGUCCUAUCAGCUUGAUGGCGGGGUAACGGCCCACCAUGGCUUCGACGGGUAGCCGGCCUGAGAGGGCGACCGGCCACAUUGGGACUGAGAUACGGCCCAGACUCCUACGGGAGGCAGCAGUGGGGAAUAUUGCACAAUGGGCGCAAGCCUGAUGCAGCGACGCCGCGUGCGGGAUGGAGGCCUUCGGGUUGUAAACCGCUUUUGAUCGGGAGCAAGCCCUUCGGGGUGAGUGUACCUUUCGAAUAAGCACCGGCUAACUACGUGCCAGCAGCCGCGGUAAUACGUAGGGUGCAAGCGUUAUCCGGAAUUAUUGGGCGUAAAGGGCUCGUAGGCGGUUCGUCGCGUCCGGUGUGAAAGCCCAUCGCUUAACGGUGGGUCUGCGCCGGGUACGGGCGGGCUGGAGUGCGGUAGGGGAGACUGGAAUUCCCGGUGUAACGGUGGAAUGUGUAGAUAUCGGGAAGAACACCAAUGGCGAAGGCAGGUCUCUGGGCCGUCACUGACGCUGAGGAGCGAAAGCGUGGGGAGCGAACASGAUUAGAUACCCUGGUAGUCCACGCCGUAAACGGUGGAUGCUUGGAUGUGGGGCCCGUUCCACGGGUUCCGGGUCG